AUGGCCAAAUCGAAGCAACCUGUUUCAGCUGGGCAAAGAAGAACUUCCCCACGGCUUGCCCUGAAGCCUAAGACUACACCUGCAGAGACCAAGAAGAAAGCUGCUGCAAAGAAGCCACCCAAAGCAAAGAAGGCCAAGCCAGCUGAGAAUGGAAACACCAAGGCUGAGGAGCCAAAGGCUGAAGCCACCGAAGCCAAAUGAAUAAUGGUUGAUGUGCUCACUCUGUGUACUUGGUGAUUGUACAGUUUUAAAUAAGUAUUUUUUACCAAGUUUUAUAUUACAAAUGUCAUUUAUAGGUUUGUAUUGGGCUUGCACUUGAUGUAACAACUUUGUUUUCACAUUCAUAUCCAUUUUAAACGAUUACCGUCCAUAUCUUGUAGCCGUGGCAUUUAUAGUUUGUCUAAUCCUGUUUUUUAUUGUAAACUGCUGAGUAAUAGAUAUUUUCCAAAAAGGUUGGAUUAUGAAUUUAAGUUUAAACAUUAUAAAGGCAGCUAAGGUAUAUUGUUAAAAUUAAAAAUUGCCUUUUAUCUCCUUGUAUCUUAAUGUUAAGCUAACAAAAAUAUAAAUGGUUGUUUUGAAACACUGUUUGUCAAGACAUAAUAACUAGCCAGUGAAAAUGCCACAGAAAAAUACUGUUAAAGGGUUAAAACCAUCCUAAAAUGAACGUGUGAUGUGAAUCUGGUCAUUUGAUUAAAAGUUAAGUUAUGUUUUUAUUAGGGGAAAAGAAGCUUUUUUUCUCAUUUAAGUGGUUGAUCUAAAUGUUCUUGAAUAAAAAUUUUCAAACUGUCUGUCUGUGUCA
rnacentral:lncRNA from 1 species